UGGGGAAUAUUGCACAAUGGGCGCAAGCCUGAUGCAGCCAUGCCGCGUGUAUGAAGAAGGCCUUCGGGUUGUAAAGUACUUUCAGCGGGGAGGAAGGGAGUAAAGUUAAUACCUUUGCUCAUUGACGUUACCCGCAGAAGAAGCACCGGCUAACUCCGUGCCAGCAGCCGCGGUAAUACGGAGGGUGCAAGCGUUAAUCGGAAUUACUGGGCGUAAAGCGCACGCAGGCGGUUUGUUAAGUCAGAUGUGAAAUCCCCGGGCUCAACCUGGGAACUGCAUCUGAUACUGGCAAGCUUGAGUCUCGUAGAGGGGGGUAGAAUUCCAGGUGUAGCGGUGGAAUGCGUAGAGAUCUGGAGGAAUACCGGUGGCGAAGGCGGCCCCCCUGGACGAAGACUGACGCUCAGGUGCGAAAGCGUGGGGCAGCAAACAGGAUUAGAUACCCUGGUAGUCCACGCCGUAAACGAUGUCGACUUGGACGGUUGUGCCCCUUGAGGCGUGGNUUCCGGAGCUAACGNGUUAAGUCGACCGCCUGGGGGAGUACGGCC
rnacentral:rRNA from 1 species